UCAGGCCUAACACAUGCAAGUCGAGCGGUAGAGAUUCUUCGGAAUCUUGAGAGCGGCGUACGGGUGCGGAACACGUGUGCAACCUACCUUUAUCUGGGGGAUAGCCUUUCGAAAGGAAGAUUAAUACCCCAUAAUAUAUUGAUUGGCAUCAAUCGAUAUUGAAAACUCCGGUGGAUAGAGAUGGGCACGCGCAAGAUUAGCUAGUUGGUGAGGUAACGGCUCACCAAGGCAAUGAUCUUUAGGGGGCCUGAGAGGGUGAUCCCCCACACUGGUACUGAGACACGGACCAGACUCCUACGGGAGGCAGCAGUGAGGAAUAUUGGACAAUGGGUGCAAGCCUGAUCCAGCCAUCCCGCGUGAAGGACGACUGCCCUAUGGGUUGUAAAGUUCUUUGUACAGGGAUAAACCUACCCUCGUGA
rnacentral:rRNA from 1 species